GAGAUGUUAGUAAAAAAUUUACACCACCUUGUCAAGAUGAAGUUAUGGGUUAAACCCCCAUACAUCUCCA
rnacentral:tRNA from 1 species